GACGAACGCUGGCGGCGUGCUUAACACAUGCAAGUCGAACGGAAAGACGCUGCGUUUGUGCGGUGCUCGAUUGGCGCGCGGGGGAGUAAAACGUGAGUAACCUCCCCUUGACAUUGGGGUAAAUUCAGGAAAAUGGGGCUAAUACCGGAGAGAACCUCCUGCUGCGUGGGGGGGGAUGGAAAGUUUCGGCGGUUGGGGAUGGACUCGCUGCUUAUCAGCUUGUUGGGGGGGUAGGUGCUUACCAAGGCUUUGACGGGUAGCCGGCCUGAGAGCUGGGCCGGCCACCUUGGGCCUGAGGUACGGCCCAGAAUCCAACCGGAGGCAGUAGGGGGGAAUAUUGCACAGCGGGGGGGAGCGUGAUGCAGCAACGCCGCGUGCGUGAUGACGGCUUACGGGUUGUAAACCGAUUUCGCAGGAACCGAAGCGGGAUUGACGGUAAUGGGUAAAGAAGCACCGGCUAACUACGUG
rnacentral:rRNA from 1 species